CAGCCGCCGCGGUAAAACGGAGGGAGCUAGCGUUGUUCGGAAUUACUGGGCGUAAAGCGUGCGCAGGCGGUUUUGUAAGUCUGUCGUGAAAUCCCCGGGCUCAACCUGGGAAUGGCGAUGGAGACUGCAAGGCUAGAAUCUGGCAGAGGGGGGUAGAAUUCCACGUGUAGCAGUGAAAUGCGUAGAUAUGUGGAGGAACACCGAUGGCGAAGGCAGCCCCCUGGGCUAGGAUUGACGCUCAUGCACGAAAGCGUGGGGAGCAAACAGGAUUAGAUACCCCGUAGUCCCUGUCUCUUAUACC
rnacentral:rRNA from 1 species